rnacentral:lncRNA from 1 species
UCAUUUACCAGAAUUUCCUUCCCCCUUUUGCCCUUUCCCUUUUUUCCCGUCGAAUAGCCUCUUUCUUUCUCUCAAAUAGCCGCUUUCUUCCCGUCGAAUCAGCCUGCAAAAUUUUCAGUUUUCUACCAAUUCCUUCAACAACCAAUUGUCCUUCCUUUUGAUUGCAACCCACAAAAUCCUCCACACGCACGUGAAUUUUUGUCCUGCCCCAAAAAUUAGGUCAGUAAAAUUUUUUCCCCCCAAAUCUAGAAGCCUGCAAAAUCUUCAAUUUUCUGUCAAUUCCUCGAGCAACUAAUUGUACUUCCACCAACUAAUUGUACUUCCUUUCGAUUACCUCUCAAAAAAUCAUCCACAUUCGCGUGAAUUCUUCUUUUUCCCCAAAAAACAGCUCACUCAAAUCUCUUUUUCCCCAAAAUCAGCUCAUUUUAGGGAUAGCUGUUCUACCGCCUUAUCAUCUAUGCUAUAGCUUUCAGAACUUACUAUUUCCAGCUCUAUAUAUACCUCUGUUUCCCAGUUUUGCCGGUAUUCAGCAGACGAGCGAAGAAAAUCUAGGUAAUUCAUAUUCUCUUUCCUUCUAUUUCGAGCUGCAAUUUUUUAGUUUUAGUUUGAUGACUGAGCUGCAAAUUUUAGUUUGAGCAACUAAUUUUAGUUUCUGUCAAUUUUUCAGUCAGCAUAUUAAGUUGCAAUUUUUUAGUUUGAUGAAUGUUCUUACCUUCUGUUUAUUUAUUAUUUAUAUUUAUUGCCAUGUUCUUACCUUCCGUUAAUUAAAGACUGCCAUGUGUUUGAUAUUAUAAAUAAAAGAAUAAUUAUGAUGCUAUUUUUUCGAUUAGCUUACGUUUACUUUUUUUCUCUGUUUUUAUAUUAUUUUCAAAUGCUACCGGACUUUUGCCAACAUUCAGGCGAGCAAAGAAAAUAUAGGUAUGUUUCUAUUUUAUCACCUUCUAUUUUGAACUGCAAGUUUUUUUUUCACUGUUGUUGCCUCUGUUUAUUGCUUUCUCUUAAUUAAGAAAUGCGAUGUGUUUGAUGUUAUGCUAUGAUAGUUUACUUUUCCCUCUGUUUUUUAUUUCAAAUGUUGCAUGAUGCUGUUAGCUGCUUAUCUAUUCAAUAAUUACAUCAUUUAGUAUCAUUGUCCUUUGGCUUAUUAAGGUUGUCAUUUUAUAUAUAUUACUUAGUUUUAGCUAUUCUAGGAUGCUUUGAUUCUGUCAUUUUGUGUGCCUUUGGAUUAGCAUUUUGCUUUGUUUAUAGUAAAAUUAGAUUUUGAUUUUUUGUGUUUCAAAAUGAAAAAAAAAAAGAAAAUUUAGUACAGGUUUUAGAUUGAUAGAUGAAAUGUUUGAUGAUUCCCCUGAUCUAAGAAUGUUGGAAAGAAACAAAAAGACAAACUUAAAUAUGCUGACUUAAAUAAGCUUCAAUUGUUCACACCAAGCACAAAGUUGGUACUUGAAGAAAUUGCUGGAGCCAGUUCUUACAAAGACAGCCAGACAUCUGCAACCAGUGGAGCAAAACGAAGCCUUGAGUUUCCAGAAGAUUUACCAGCAGACACACAUGCUAAACAUCCAACAAAGGCUCCUGAAGAGUUUGCCAAAGAACCUGCAAAACUGUAUGGUCCACCUGCAAAUAUCAAAGACAGUCCAACCAAGAAAGCUAAAGCAAAGGAAGACUAAUAUGGCCUAUUUCUGUACUUUUGUUAAAUCUUUUGUUCAUUGCCUUUCCUCGAUUGCUUAGACAAUAUCUUUUGAAUUAUAUUAUGAUCCAUUAUUCUUUUGACUUAAAAAGUAAUGGAUCGUAAUAUACUUAGUAAUAGUUUAACCAUCAAUGCUGUACUUCAUUAGGCAAUGAAGCUUAUUUAAGCCUCCUAAUAUGUAACUGUGGCUGGCAUCCAAGUAUCCAUUCUACUAAGACAUGAAUGAUUGAGUUUAUGUAAUGUAUUAUUGUGAUUUGCAUAGUAUUUAUAUCUUGAGCCUGUAUAUACAUGAUGAUGUUUUAGGAAA